rnacentral:lncRNA from 1 species
CGCAGAGAACGUGGCUGAUCUAUUGACGAAGUAAUUGAGCUAGCAAAAGUCUGAAGCCCACCUUGAGAAGAUGAGACUUAGAUUUGUAGUCAAUUGGCUUUAGGUCAAGUGGGAGAUUGUUCGAUGUAUGCCUUAAAAGCUAGAUUGGCCAACACUUGUAAACUUUCUUAGGGUAUAUUUUGUAAUGUUGACUUAUAAAUUCAUAAAAUUUGGUUCACUACCAUACAUAUUUGUGUUAAAUUGUGUCUAUGCAUCGUCUGUUGAGUUAAUGGGUAUAAUGACAUAUAUUCUUAAGAGUUG